GAGAAGAUGAAGGAAGAACUCCUUGAUAAUCGAGCAGCAAUCCCUAGGCUUGGCUAAAUGAUAACCAUGACAAAACAUUAUGGCCUUAUCAAGAUCAUCGAGCAACAAUCCCUAGGCCACAGCUCUGCAAUAGGUGGUUAAGAUACUUUGACAGGUCAUGGUAGGGAAGAACAGUGAGAUAGAAGGCUAGCAGCCAUCAUCAAGGAGGAGGAAGGAAGGCAAGACUUAGAACAAGA